GGGUUGUGAGGUUAAGCGACUAAGCGUACACGGUGGAUGCCCUGGCAGUCAGAGGCGAUGAAGGACGUGCUAAUCUGCGAUAAGCGUCGGUAAGGUGAUAUGAACCGUUAUAACCGGCGAUUUCCGAAUGGGGAAACCCAGUGUGUUUCGACACACUAUCAUUAACUGAAUCCAUAGGUUAAUGAGGCGAACCGGGGGAACUGAAACAUCUAAGUACCCCGAGGAAAAGAAAUCAACCGAGAUUCCCCCAGUAGCGGCGAGCGAACGGGGAGGAGCCCAGAGCCUGAAUCAGUGUGUGUGUUAGUGGAAGCGUCUGGAAAGGCGCGCGAUACAGGGUGACAGCCCCGUACACAAAAAUGCACAUGCUGUGAGCUCGAUGAGUAGGGCGGGACACGUGGUAUCCUGUCUGAAUAUGGGGGGACCAUCCUCCAAGGCUAAAUACUCCUGACUGACCGAUAGUGAACCAGUACCGUGAGGGAAAGGCGAAAAGAACCCCGGCGAGGGGAGUGAAAAAGAACCUGAAACCGUGUACGUACAAGCAGUGGGAGCCUCUUUUAUGGGGUGACUGCGUACCUUUUGUAUAAUGGGUCAGCGACUUAUAUUCUGUAGCAAGGUUAACCGAAUAGGGGAGCCGAAGGGAAACCGAGUCUUAACUGGGCGUUAAGUUGCAGGGUAUAGACCCGAAACCCGGUGAUCUAGCCAUGGGCAGGUUGAAGGUUGGGUAACACUAACUGGAGGACCGAACCGACUAAUGUUGAAAAAUUAGCGGAUGACUUGUGGCUGGGGGUGAAAGGCCAAUCAAACCGGGAGAUAGCUGGUUCUCCCCGAAAGCUAUUUAGGUAGCGCCUCGUGAAUUCAUCUCCGGGGGUAGAGCACUGUUUCGGCAAGGGGGUCAUCCCGACUUACCAACCCGAUGCAAACUGCGAAUACCGGAGAAUGUUAUCACGGGAGACACACGGCGGGUGCUAACGUCCGUCGUGAAGAGGGAAACAACCCAGACCGCCAGCUAAGGUCCCAAAGUCAUGGUUAAGUGGGAAACGAUGUGGGAAGGCCCAGACAGCCAGGAUGUUGGCUUAGAAGCAGCCAUCAUUUAAAGAAAGCGUAAUAGCUCACUGGUCGAGUCGGCCUGCGCGGAAGAUGUAACGGGGCUAAACCAUGCACCGAAGCUGCGGCAGCGACACUAUGUGUUGUUGGGUAGGGGAGCGUUCUGUAAGCCUGUGAAGGUGUACUGUGAGGUAUGCUGGAGGUAUCAGAAGUGCGAAUGCUGACAUAAGUAACGAUAAAGCGGGUGAAAAGCCCGCUCGCCGGAAGACCAAGGGUUCCUGUCCAACGUUAAUCGGGGCAGGGUGAGUCGACCCCUAAGGCGAGGCCGAAAGGCGUAGUCGAUGGGAAACAGGUUAAUAUUCCUGUACUUGGUGUUACUGCGAAGGGGGGACGGAGAAGGCUAUGUUGGCCGGGCGACGGUUGUCCCGGUUUAAGCGUGUAGGCUGGUUUUCCAGGCAAAUCCGGAAAAUCAAGGCUGAGGCGUGAUGACGAGGCACUACGGUGCUGAAGCAACAAAUGCCCUGCUUCCAGGAAAAGCCUCUAAGCAUCAGGUAACAUCAAAUCGUACCCCAAACCGACACAGGUGGUCAGGUAGAGAAUACCAAGGCGCUUGAGAGAACUCGGGUGAAGGAACUAGGCAAAAUGGUGCCGUAACUUCGGGAGAAGGCACGCUGAUAUGUAGGUGAAGUCCCUCGCGGAUGGAGCUGAAAUCAGUCGAAGAUACCAGCUGGCUGCAACUGUUUAUUAAAAACACAGCACUGUGCAAACACGAAAGUGGACGUAUACGGUGUGACGCCUGCCCGGUGCCGGAAGGUUAAUUGAUGGGGUCAGCGCAAGCGAAGCUCUUGAUCGAAGCCCCGGUAAACGGCGGCCGUAACUAUAACGGUCCUAAGGUAGCGAAAUUCCUUGUCGGGUAAGUUCCGACCUGCACGAAUGGCGUAAUGAUGGCCAGGCUGUCUCCACCCGAGACUCAGUGAAAUUGAACUCGCUGUGAAGAUGCAGUGUACCCGCGGCAAGACGGAAAGACCCCGUGAACCUUUACUAUAGCUUGACACUGAACAUUGAGCCUUGAUGUGUAGGAUAGGUGGGAGGCUUUGAAGUGUGGACGCCAGUCUGCAUGGAGCCGACCUUGAAAUACCACCCUUUAAUGUUUGAUGUUCUAACGUUGACCCGUAAUCCGGGUUGCGGACAGUGUCUGGUGGGUAGUUUGACUGGGGCGGUCUCCUCCUAAAGAGUAACGGAGGAGCACGAAGGUUGGCUAAUCCUGGUCGGACAUCAGGAGGUUAGUGCAAUGGCAUAAGCCAGCUUGACUGCGAGCGUGACGGCGCGAGCAGGUGCGAAAGCAGGUCAUAGUGAUCCGGUGGUUCUGAAUGGAAGGGCCAUCGCUCAACGGAUAAAAGGUACUCCGGGGAUAACAGGCUGAUACCGCCCAAGAGUUCAUAUCGACGGCGGUGUUUGGCACCUCGAUGUCGGCUCAUCACAUCCUGGGGCUGAAGUAGGUCCCAAGGGUAUGGCUGUUCGCCAUUUAAAGUGGUACGCGAGCUGGGUUUAGAACGUCGUGAGACAGUUCGGUCCCUAUCUGCCGUGGGCGCUGGAGAACUGAGGGGGGCUGCUCCUAGUACGAGAGGACCGGAGUGGACGCAUCACUGGUGUUCGGGUUGUCAUGCCAAUGGCACUGCCCGGUAGCUAAAUGCGGAAGAGAUAAGUGCUGAAAGCAUCUAAGCACGAAACUUGCCCCGAGAUGAGUUCUCCCUGACCCUUUAAGGGUCCUGAAGGAACGUUGAAGACGACGACGUUGAUAGGCCGGGUGUGUAAGCGCAGCGAUGCGUUGAGCUAACCGGUACUAAUGAACCGUGAGGCUUAACCUUACAACGCCGAAG
rnacentral:rRNA from 1 species